AUGAGCGUGAGAUGGCCAAGGGCGAGUAAAUAGAUCUGAGGGCUUUGUUAUUCCUGUAUCUCUUGCAUAAAGAAUUUUGCAAAAGGGACACAGACUGACUUGGGAAAAUUAAUGCAGCCAAGCUUGAGCUGUUUUUUUGGAGUGUUUCUGGUCUUCGGCUGGAUCGUGCUGUGAGCUUUAUCUAAUGUAAAGGCAAAGCGGGAACUUGGGAGGUUUCUUUGAUAGAGAGGCAGCUGAGAGAAAGUUGGUGACCGCUGACCAGAGGCACCACAGAGCUCCAGCAGUCCAGGGCAGGGUGACAGGAGACAACACGCCAAGGGGAGGAAGGGGAGUCGCUCAUCUGUGUCUGCACCCAGGACAGCUCCCGUGGUGGCCGUUCUAAGGUGUCCCCGUGGGCUCUAAGAAAUAUCUGUUGCAUGAACAGGUAGGCAAACAUUAAUGACUUAAUGAUUUCCAAGGGAAGUUGUAUA
rnacentral:lncRNA from 1 species